CCGUCCAGCACUGCUGCGGCGCGAUGAAGUGAAUGUGCGUGUCCACGCCGCCCGCCGUGAGGAUGUGCCCCUCGCCCGCCACGAUCUCGGUGCUCGCGCCGAUGGUCAGCCCCGGCGUCACGCCGUCCUGCGUGCCGGGAUUCCCCGCCUUCCCGAUGGCCGUGAUCCGUCCGUUCUUCACGCCCACGUCCGCCUUCACGACGCCCCAGUGAUCCAGGAUCAGCGCGUUUGUGAUCACCAGAUCCGGCACGUUCGCAUCCUCGCGGGUGGCGGUGCUGCUCUGGCCCAAGCCGUCGCGG
rfam:Deinococcus sp. TR1 contig_18, whole genome shotgun sequence.